rnacentral:rRNA from 1 species
AACGAACGCUGGCGGCAGGCUUAACACAUGCAAGUCGAACGCCCCUUCGGGGGAGUGGCAGACGGGUGAGUAACGCGUGGGAACCUACCUUUCGGUACGGAACAACAGUUGGAAACGACUGCUAAUACCGUAUACGUCCUUCGGGAGAAAGAUUUAUCGCCGAUAGAGGGGCCCGCGUUGGAUUAGCUUGUUGGUGAGGUAAUGGCUCACCAAGGCGACGAUCCAUAGCUGGUCUGAGAGGAUGAUCAGCCACACUGGGACUUAGACACGGCCCAGACUCCUACGGGAGGCAGCAGUGGGGAAUAUUGGACAAUGGGCGAAAGCCUGAUCCAGCCAUGCCGCGUGAGUGAUGACGGCCUUAGGGUUGUAAAGCUCUUUCAGUGGUGAAGAAAAUGACGGUACCAGACUAAGAAGCCCCGGCUAACUACGUGCCAGCAGCCGCGGUAAUACGUAGGGGGCAAGCGUUAUCCGGAUUUACUGGGUGUAAAGGGUACGUAGNCGGUCGCUUAAGUCAGAUGUGAAAGCCCGAAGCUCAACUUCGGGACUGCAUUUGAAACUGGGUGACUAGAGUACAGGAGAGGAAAGCGGAAUUCCUAGUGUAGCGGUGAAAUGCGUAGAUAUUAGGAAGAACACCAGUGGCGAAGGCGGCUUUCUGGACUGUAACUGACGCUGAGGUACGAAAGCGUGGGGAGCGAACAGGAUUAGAUACCUGGUAGUCCACGCCGUAAACGAUGAAUGCUAGGUGUCGGGGGUCGAA